CCUACGCGAGGCAGCAGUGAGGAAUAUUGGUCAAUGGGCGGAAGCCUGAACCAGCCAAGUCGCGUGAGGGAAUAAGGCCCUACGGGUCGUAAACCUCUUUUGCCGGGGAGCAAGGGCGGGGACGUGUCCCGUCCCGGGGAGUACCCGGAGAAAAAGCAUCGGCUAACUCCGUGCCAGCAGCCGCGGUAAUACGGAGGAUGCGAGCGUUAUCCGGAUUUAUUGGGUUUAAAGGGUGCGUAGGCGGGCUGUUAAGUCAGCGGUAAAAAUUCGGGGCUCAACCCCGUCCGGCCGUUGAAACUGGGGGCCUUGAGUGGGCGAGAAGAAGGCGGAAUGCGUGGUGUAGCGGUGAAAUGCAUAGAUAUCACGCAGAACCCCGAUUGCGAAGGCAGCCUUCCGGCGCCCUACUGACGCUGAGGCACGAAAGUGCGGGGAUCGAACAGGAUUAGAUACCCGAGUAGUC
rnacentral:rRNA from 1 species